CGCUCAUAGCCGGCCCCGCCCCUUCGCCGCUCCUCCUGCUUCCACAUUUGGGUCUUGGCAUCCUUCCUUAGUUACUUCCUGCAUGCUGACCAGACUUAAAGCACAAAAAUAUUACACUUGUUACUAUAGGACUAGGAAGUAGAAGAGCUUAGACACCAGCUUGGAUUAUACACAGAUUCAGGAGCUGUUCCAGGACCCAUGUGGGACUUUGUUGAAGAAUCAGGGUUGAUGGUGUAAAUGGGUGUAGACGUGCUUCCUGUUCCUCCAAAGAGCUCCUGCACCAUCUUGCUUCUCUCUCUGAAUUUCUUCCCUUCUGUAUCUCUGAGAACUGUAUUCAGGCAAAAGAAAAAGGAAAAACCAGCUUGGAAAAAGGGUUAUCAGGAUCCAGGACGUAUGAUAUUUGCUGAAAGCACCCGUCAGGAGAGAGAGGCUGGGUUGUGCAGAUGGGCCAACGGAAACAAGACGUGAUGAAGACAAAGCUCGCUCCCCAAGUCUGCUAAAAUGUGAAUUUAUGAAUCCUGAGAGGUUGGAAGCCAAAAGAGAUGUAAUUGUGCCUUAUUUGACUUGGCUCUCUAAAUGGCCAAUCCUUGGCAUUCCCUGCAA
rnacentral:lncRNA from 1 species